rnacentral:rRNA from 1 species
GUCCACGCCGUAAACGGUGGGCGCUAGUUGUGCGAACCUUCCACGGUUUGUGCGACGCAGCUAACGCAUUAAGCGCCCCGCCUGGGUAGUACGAUCGCAAGAUUAAAAACUCAAAGGAAUUGACGGGGCCCCGCACAAGCAGCGGAGCAUGCGGCUUAAUUCGACGCAACGCGAAGAACCUUACCAAGGCUUGACAUAUACAGGAAUACGGCAGAGAUGUCGUCGCGGUAAAAACGUCUGUAUACAGGUGGUGCAUGGUUGUCGU